rnacentral:tRNA from 1 species
GGGGUAGUAGAUCAGCUCGGUAGAUCGCUUCCUUCGCAUGGAAGAAGCCAGGAGUUCAAAUCUCCUCUACUCCA